AUUGAACGCUGGCGGCAUGCCUAACACAUGCAAGUCGAGCGGUUGAAGGGAGCUUGCUUCUGGAUUCAGCGGCGGACGGGUGAGUAAUGCCUAGGAAUCUGCCUGGUAGUGGGGGAUAACGUCCGGAAACGGGCGCUAAUACCGCAUACGUUCUGAGGGAGAAAGUGGGGGAUUUUCUGACCUCACGCUAUCAGCUGAGCCUAGGUAUGAUUAGCGAGUUGGUGGGGUAAAUGCAUAACAAGGCGCAGACCCGUAACUGGUGUGAGAGGAAGAUCAGUCACAGGGGAAGUGAGACACGGUAAAGACCCACACGGGAGGGAGGAGGGGAGAAUAUGGGAAGAUGGGAGAGAGCGUGAGACAGACACGGCGCGUGUGAGAAGGAGGUCUUCAGAGUAUAAAGCUCUUUGAGGUGGGGAGAAGGGGAGUAAGUUAAUAGCUCGCUGAGUGGACGUUACCAACAGAUAAGCACCGGCUAACUACGUG
rnacentral:rRNA from 1 species